AACGAACGCUGGCGGCGUACCUAACACAUGCAAGUCGUACGAGAAAUUCCGAUUCGUCGGGAGAGUAAAGUGGCGAACGGGUGAGUAACACUAGGGUAAUCUUCCCUUAAAUAAGGGAUAACGUUGCGAAAGCGACGCUAAUACCUUAUAAGACUACGAUCUCUUAGGAGGUAGUAGGAAAAGAUGGCCUCUGUUUCAAGCUAUCGUUUAAGGAUGAGCCCUAGCACUAUUAGCUAGUUGGUGAGGUAACGGCUCACCAAGGCGACGAUGGUUAGCUGGUCUGAGAGGAUGGCCAGCCACACUGGAACUGAGACACGGUCCAGACUCCUACGGGAGGCAGCAGUGAGGAAUAUUGCGCAAUGGGGGCAACCCUGACGCAGUGACGCCGCGUGAGUGAUGAAGGCUUUCGAGUCGUAAAGCUCUGUUAGGUGGAAAGAAACAUCCCGGCGCUAAUAUCGUCGGGACUUGACGGUACCACCAGAGGAAGCACCGGCUAACUACGUGCC
rnacentral:rRNA from 1 species